rnacentral:lncRNA from 1 species
GUUCGGACCCAAGGAACCGAGGACCCCAGCAAUGAGUCUGCUGCCCCAGUGUCUGGUCAGAGCUACCCAGAGGUGAGUGGAAUAACUCUUAUGCUUUUAAAUAAAUAAAUCAGUUUUAGCAUGAUUCACGCAUCAUGAAUGCCAUGAGAUAUAAUAGGGUGCUUGCAUUAGAAUUCACGAAUAUGUUGCAUUGCAUAGUAUGUUGAUGAUGCGGAUGAAUGUUGAAUGAUCCUUUAGUCCUCCUAUGUUAUGAUAUGAUGAUGAUACGGUACGGAAGACCAGUGAGGCCCAUUCUACGCCCCUGGCAGUAUGUAAGAGAAAGACCAGUGAGGCCCAUUCUACGCCCCUGGCACUAUGGAAUGUUAUGUUAUGUUAUGUAUGUAAGAGAAAGACUAGUGAGGCCCAUUCUACGCCCCUGGCACUAUUGGAAUGUGUAGAGGACUAUUGGUGACAAGUUCAUCCUUGAUGUGAUUAGCUGUGAUGUGAUGCAUUUCAUGUUAUCAUAUGUUUUAAAUGUUUUACUAUUCUGCUCACUGGGCUUCGUAGCUCACCCCUCUUCCCUAACCCCAGAUGUGCAGGUACAGGGUAGACCAGGAGGUUAGCCAGAGUUUUGAAGCAUGUUUAUGUAAUAAGUUAGAUUGUGGACAUGAUAAUUGUACUAUGAUGUAAUGUAAGAGAUUAUAGUAUGUUAUGUAAUGAGGUAUAUUGAGGUUAUAGUUGUGCUUGACCC